CUCUCAUCUCUCAAACCCGCACCCCGCUCGGCCUAGGGUUCCGGCCGUUAGCUGACAGUUGCCGGCGCCGGCGUUCGAAAAAUCAUGAAAAUUUGCACUUCUCUCCUGUGAGUCAAAAAAUUAAGCUGUCCCCUUCUCUUUUUAAUCUUUAUAUUUUUCAAAAAGAAAAAUCUAGAUCUAGGAUAUAUUUCGAAAUAAAACAGAAAAAUGAAGAAAGAAAGAGUCAAAUCGCAAGGGAAAGAACCUCCGUCUUCGCCUCGCCCCCAGCCCUCGUCGGAACCUGAAUGGGUUUUAUGACAUUUGGGUUACCAGAGGCUCUCGACUUGUGACGGAGGAUCGACCGAAGGUGAGUUUUUAUUUAUUUUUUAUUUAUGUUUUUAUUUCGGAUAAAAUAAAAGAGUAAAAGAGACACCUUUGAACUGUUUGCUUUUGAUUUUUUUUCUUCUUGUAUUCGAUUUUUUUAAAAAGAAGGCUCUCCCUUACAAUAUGUUUUUCGUGGCCUUUAUAGCCACUGAUACAUGAUUUUAUUACUGUUUCUCUAUUACUGUUUGUCCACUGCUUCCUUCUUUUUUUUUUUGCGCUGCUGUUGCGUGUUUGCUUCACUUUGCAGGGUGUCAAGCAGUGGAGGUGGUUGAAGCAGAGACGUGACACGGCAGAAGAGGUGAUGGGACGGUGGCAGAAGGGCAGAAGGCCCUAGGUGCGGGUUGGAGUUUUCUGUUUCUUCUUUGUGUUGGGCCAUUUGGGCCGUUUAGGUUUUGUUCAGGAUUGGGUUUGUAAUGGGCUUGUUGGGCUGAUCUGGUUUGUAAUGGGCCUUAGCAGUUUGGGCUAGAGACUUUGGGCCUGUUGAGUCAACAUUGUAAUUGGGCCUCUGUUUUUUGUUUUACUGGUAUGAGCCCGGGCAAAUUUGGGCUUGUACAAUUAACAAUAAGCUAAAUUAACUUUACAAUCUAAUUCUUUCAUAUUCUAAGCUUAAAAUCUAUAAUUACAA
rnacentral:lncRNA from 1 species